rnacentral:ncRNA from 1 species
UGAUAGCUGUGAAGCGCGAGGUUGCUGCCCAAUAUGAGGCGGGUUUUCCGUGGAGCGAAUGUCAAGUUAG